rnacentral:rRNA from 1 species
CAGCCGGGUAAUUCCAGCUCCAAUAGCGUAUAUUAAAGUUGCUGCAGUUAAAAAGCUCGUAGUUGAAUUUCGGGACUAAUAUGUCGGUCGUGCCUCGGUACGUACUGGUUUAUUGGUUUCUCCUUUCUGAAGAACCAUGAUGUCAUUUAUUUGGUGUCGUGGGGAAUCAGGACUGUUACUUUGAAAAAAUUAGAGUGUUUAAAGCAGGCUCACGCUUGAAUACAUUAGCAUGGAAUAAUGAAAUAGGACGUUUGAUUCUAUUUUGUUGGUUUCUAGGAUCGACGUAAUGAUUAAUAGGGAUAGUUGGGGGCAUUAGUAUUCAAUUGUCAGAGGUGAAAUUCUUGGAUUUAUUGAAGACUAACUACUGCGAAAGCAUUUGCCAAGGAUGUUUUCAUUAAUCAAGAACGAAAGUUAGGGGAUCGAAGACGAUCAGAUACCGUCGUAGUCUUAACCAUAAACUAUGCCGACUAGGGAUCGGAUGAUGUUAAUUUUUUAAUGACUCAUUCGGCGCCUUACG